GUGAGGAAGUGCCUUGCCCAAGGUCACACAGCCAGUUGUUCACCAGGGUGGGACCAGCGUGCAUCCAGAACCGGGCAGUGCUGGGCACUCUUGGGUGUAGUAUGUAGGAGUGGCAGGACAGGGAACAGGCAGUGCCCAGGGACUGAGGGUGGGGAGCCCACAUCCAAGGCUGCCCUGAUGCUUGGGUUGGCUCUGAGUGGGUGAGGCUUGGAUACUGUCCCCUCCAGCCCUGCCAACCCCCCCCCUUAAAUAUCAGAGAUAAUGCAUGUAAAGUGCCCAGCAUGAAAGCUGUUUUGUGGUGAUGUCAACCAGAAUGAGUCACCUCCACCCCUCCCCUAUCCUCCUACACACACACACACACACACAGGCAGAGCUCAGGGCCUAGAACCUCCUGGGAUCUCUUUCACAUCACCCCCUUCUUCCUUCCGGAGUCCCUAUAACUGUUACACACAUUUGGUACUUUACCACCUGCUAGCUUCAGUUAUUAUUUAACCCCACAUACCAUGUGUUUGUCUCUUCCACCGGCCUGCAAACUGUCCAAGGGCAGGAAAUCAUUUCAAUACACCCAAUAUUUAUUGAACAUCAGCUUUGGUGCCAGGCUUGGCCUGUGAGGGAUGAGUUGGGGUGGGGUGGGAGGAGUCCUCAAAGGAGAAGCAGACUUUUUUUCUGCCUCAAGGACUUUCUAAUCUGGUUACAACGGGAUUAGUAAACAGAUCGCUAGAAUAAGAGACAGGACACACGAUGUGCUAUUGGAAAGGUACAAACUGAGUGUGCUGGGCGUUUGGACUCAAACUUGGCUGGCAGCAUUUCAAGGGACCUUUAUGACUGGAGCUGGGAGAACGGGUAGACACGAGGACAAGCACAUGGCACAGCAAAUGUACAGGUGGGAAGAAGGAAGAAUAAAGGACUUUAGGAACUGUGUCAAACUUUUUCAUGACAAUUUUAGCAGGACCCAAUACAGGGCCUUCCUCAUGUUCAGCAAAUAAAUCUGUUCCCUCCUUAGUUUGGAGAAGGUGGGACUUCAGGACCAGCUCAGUAAGGUCUUUCUGCAGGAUGGGGCAAGAGAAAUCAUGGCUCUUGAAUAAACCAGGGUUUGGGGCUGGUCAAAGGGAAGAGUCAGGCUCCAGCGGCAGGUUUGGGGUCGUCUUCCUUCACCCUGACCUUCUCCACCACUCCCACCCUCCACUGUCUGGGCGGUUCCUAGUCCCAGCGUCCUUCCAGGGGUUUCCCAAGCUGUCCAAAAGGGCCGGGCUUGGUUUGCGAGCGCCAGGAAUCCCAUGUUCCUGGCUUCCGUGAAAGAUCAAGGAUGGGGAAAUGGAAGAGAGAGGCUCUUUCCGGGGAUCGCUUGAAUUGGCCCCCUCAACACGGGCUUCCGUUGUCACGUGACUGCAUCCCAGGGAGGUCCGAAGCUGGCGUGCUCCCAGGUCCGAGGCUGGCGUGCUCCCAGCCAUUCUGCUCCAGCCUCCUGCACUGACUGCGCGCUUUGGGGGCGCGGGCGGCAGCCUCGGAGGCUCUUUGUCCCUCGUGGACCUCCCAACACCUGCCCCCCACGAGCUGUGCUAACCCAGGGCCCAUCCAAGCCUGAGGUUCCCUGGAGAUGGCUGGCUGGGUGCUCCAAGGCUGCCUCCACCUGAAGCCACAGCAAAGACCUAUGAAAUCUGCCAUCCAGCCACAAAAUUCCACCUUCCUCCCCUGUGCCUGCUGUCUCCAUGGUCUGGUGGGGCCACUGGGAGGAUGACAGCAGCCAAGAGCAGGGCUUUUCCUGGGAAGGAAGGGCUGUUUCACGCUCUAGCUUCAUGGGGUGUCUGCAAGGUGCCCAGAGGGACACCCUGUGCCUGGAGAGUGCCAGGGCAUGCAGGGAGGGGCUCUAUCCUCUGCUGGGUUCCAGGAAAGGCCUUGGCAGGCCGCUCAGGCCUGAGCUUCAGGGCCUUUAAGGGUGGGGCUGUUGGAGGGACCCUAAGCUGCUAAAGUGCCUCACCUGGUACUCAGGCCCCAGGCGCAUUUGAUGGUGUGUGGCCCGCUCACUCUGCAGCUGAAAGUGAGACUAUGGAUACCAACCCAAGCCUGAGCCAGGACCACCUUCCUGCACAGCCAGCACCCUUCCCACACAUCCUAUCACCCAGUCAGAUCACCAAAUCCCCCAGAGUGAAGUACCUUGGCUGCCAUCUACACCAGACUUCAAUCAAAUGUCUGAAAUCUGCCCGUGGUGUCCCAGGAUGGCUGGUGUUAGUGAUGCUCUGGAGUGGUGACUGGGACAUAGUCCUUCUGGACACCACCAUCUCCAUGUCCGGUCACCAUGGGAGACUAGAAGUGACUGAACUCAUACCCCCCUGAUGCCCACUGUGACCCAGUCCCCCAAACUCCUAAUGAAAGAGGAAGCUGCAGAAGAGAGACAUCCAAGUCAGCCACAGGGAGUUUGUGCAAGAUCCCAGCUGCACCUUGGUGCACAGUGGACUGAGUGCACCUGCCUGCUGGGAAGCCAGAGGGCAGAGGGCAGAAAGGAGAGCUGUGCAGACAGAGGUUCCAGUGGGAUCUUGUCCUUGAGAGAGUCUAGCCUGCCUUGCUGUGGGGCCCUAGUCCAAUGGUCAUUUUCUCCCCCACACACUCAGAGUAAUCCUGGCCCCUGCCACCCAAUCUUGACCCAGGUCAAAAUCCACCCCCCACCAGAAGGAUCUGAGAACCUCCACGCCAUUUUGAUCAGUUUGUCAUCAAUAAAUUCCCUUUGAGCCUUGUGAGUUGCCUUCAGUCUUUUCUAUGUUUUAUUGCCUAACCAUGUCCUAUAUCAUUUUCUACCCCUCUAAUGCAGGGACAUGCGUCUUUUUAUGGGGAAGGGCACUAGGACCCCCAGAGAGUCAAGUCUGGAUCCCAGUUCUAACACUUAGCUGUUGGGCCUUGGGUAAUCAAUCUCUUAACCUCUCCGAGCCAUUUCUUCAUCUGUAAAAGGCGUUAAAGGAUACUUGUCUUGAAGAAUGAGGGGUAAAGAUCACAGAGACUACAGAGUGCCAGGAAAAGUGCCUGCUGCAUGGCCAGCAUACAAGUUUGUCUUACUCCCCGAAUGGCUGGAGCCUUCUGUGAAUUGGGGGACGAAGUGUGCCUUAACUCCUACCAUUUCAGAAUACUUACACGUGUAAAGGGACAUUAUUAAUAAUUACACCAGUUCCAGGGACAUAACCUGGGAUACAUGGCCUCUCUACCCGAGUUCACGACAACCGGUGAGGGCAGGCUUGGAUCGAGCGCGGUAGCCCAAUGCCUACACAUAGUGCCGAAGCAUAAAUAUUUGUUGAAUAAACGAGUGAACAGAGCUGUCCCUCACUCAGUUUCUCCAACAUCGGCGAGUGCAGAA